UUCCAGAUCGUUCUUAGGGAUUUGCCCAAACUUCCGGUGAAGGCAAGUAAAACUGUGAUGGUUAUUCCGUCUGUCAGAUGAGGAGUCUUGUACUUGAUUAUGUUGUGCUAUUGUGUUCAUAUUCAUAUUUUCUUUUGAGUACCAUCAUUUGAAAAUGUUCAUGUUUCAUGGAUUUCAUAUGUUGAGUUUGAGGUUUGAUUAUGUUACUCAAGUGGUUAUUAUGUUGAAUGGGUGGAAGUAAAUGUCUAGCACAUUUUUAUUUGGGAAGAACUCAUGAUGUUGUCAUGCAUAAUGCACUCAUCAUCCAUUGCAUUGAAGUUUCGUCGCGAUCUUAUGGUCCGACCGUACCGGUACAUUGAGCAUCAUAUGUUGCUCGAGAAGGGGUAUGGUGCAGCUUCAUAUCCUUAGAGAUAUGGAGGCAGAAGUCAUUAUUGCAUUUGUAGCCAUGUGCAUUCAUGGGAGAGGUGUGGAAUCUAUUAUGUGGAUGUGGAUAAUUUGGACUUAUGCAUGGUGAUUCUACUUGGUGUUGAGUUUUUAGUUACUUGUUUGCUUGCUGCAAUUUACUGUUCAAAAGAAAAGAAAGAAGUUCUGAACCACGUGGUUGUGUAAGCACAGUUGAUUUACAAUGUCCUAUUUAUUGUUGUUAUGUUUACUUGCUGAGAUGUGUUAUCUCACAUCUUGCAUUGUUUGAUGCAGGCACCUAAUUUCUGCUUUGGGAAUAGAGGGAUGUAGCAGCACGGCCACUACACCUUUAAUAAAGGAACCACCAUUUAAUAAUGUUGUUAAUUAGAGUUGGUCAAGUCUAGUGAAUUGCUUUCUUCUUGGUUGAGCGUUUAUUUUGGGGUGGGCUGAGUUUCUUAUCCCAUUUGUUUCACUUCAGUUGGGGCAUAAAUGAGCUUUACCACUUUGCAUCUAGUUUCUGCUAUGUGAAUUAUAUGUCUUUAUAUCCUGUAUGAACUUCAUGUUUUCCCUUCCUUGUUAUGUUAGUUUCAAAGGAGGUGCUGCCGGAUUUUGCUAUAUUUUUCUUUCUUUAUUACGCCUCUUGUGUUGAGUAAGUUAGACAAGUGGGGUUUUUGGUGAUAUCCAUUGUGUGUUACCAGUGGGGUGUUACAAAUUUAAUGGUCCUUAAGUCUGUAUUGAUGAUGGACUUAUGCUGGGCU
rnacentral:lncRNA from 1 species